GUCGGAGCCCGAGGGGCCGCGGCCGCGCGCCGCGGGGGGAGGAGACGGUCUGGAGUCCCCCCGCUGCGCCGGGGUUGGGGAGACGGAGGACUGCAGCGCCCCUUGGGGCUUCUGAGGCGCCCAGGUAACCUCACCUGGCCGCCAGUCUCCCGCAGGAGGAACAGACACGUUGGUUCCACACCGAACCUAUUAACAGCUCAACUUCAAAUAUUUGGUAAGUGAAACCUCCCUGGAACUUGAUACUUGUAAGAAUAUGGGUUGAUGUAGUGACCUCUGCUUUCCUGGGCCAUAUAUGACUGGGAUGGCAGAGGACAUGUACUCUUCAUGGUGCUCUCCACAGUUCUUCAGCAUUGUGGAAAUGAAGCAUUUGUUGGAGGACUAAGAUGAAGACACACAGAACAUCGAAUUCUUGUGGCCCAAGAGAGCUAGUUACAUGUUCCCUGACUGGAGAUGGUCUCUGCUCUUCUUUGUUGUGUAAUUAUAUUGAAUACAGAGAGGAAAAGGGGAUCCACUUGCCACAGAGGGAUCUUAACAUGUUAUGGCAAGUCUGGAUUACUGGAGGAUGGGGGAUGUCCUGAUAACUACUGGUCCCUGCUGCUCUCCUCUCUCCUCUUUUCCUCUUCACUGUGGUCAUGACACAUGCUAACUAAGCCAGGUAGUGCUGCAGCAGCACAGCUUAGGCUGCAGCAUCAGCAUCAGCAAGGUGGCCUUGGAAAGCUGAUCAGAGCCUGGGACACAUCUCUCCUGGGAAGUGGCAAUGUCUGCAGUCUCCUGGGAUUUGCCUAUCCAUUCCACUUGGGAUUGGUCCCCACAUUAACGUCUUUCACAUAUCAUUCACAGACAGUUAGAAGUAACUCAGCCCAGUGAUCUACAUGCAUCUGUUCCCCAAUGGAAAUAUCAAACUGUCUUUUGAAGGGGCAAAACUAACCUGUCUUAGGAGACUUGAAAGAACAUAAAUAGCAAAUGAAAUCUAUUCUUUGGUGCAAAGGGAUAUCUCCUUUUUAAUCUUUUGUGCUUCUUUCAUAUGUUUAAAUCUCAGCCCAGACUUUUAGAGAAACACUUGCCUUGAAGAAUACACAAAAUUUACUGACUCAAAGGGGAAAAAAGCUGUCCAACCUACUGAUCAUAAUAGUCCUAAAUAUGGCCAGAAUCUGUUGCUAUCUCAUGAACCCAAAAUCCAAACUGUGACUUUGUUUCUAACUGAUGGUCAAAUCUACCAUCUUUCUCCUGCUAAUCCUUUGAAUAGCAGAGUAUGUACCCCUUUAAAAAAAAUCACAUGUACAAAUUCCACAUUCCUCACUUACCUUGUGUAUAGAAAAUAUACCUUGCGCAGUAAUAUCUCAGAGAUUAAUGUAAUAUGGUAUUGUGGCCAAAGCAGAUGUGUGAAAUCACAGCAAAUAAAUUAACACUCCAUUAAGAAUCAAAUCAGCCCUGCUGACACAUAAUCUUUCCCGUUUAUGUCAAGUCGUGAUUCCCAUUCACAUCGGGAGCGUCCCAGGGAGGCUCAUUAGACCUGCAGGAAGAGAUUUCUUUUAAGUCAAAGCUAUUCACAAGUUAUUCAGCUACAGUGAGGGCAAAAGAGCCUUCCUGUCGUCUGGGUACCCGCCUCUCCACGAUCUCUUUGUCACUGUCCACCCAAAGCCCCAGCCACGCAGGAUAUAGCUAGGCUUCCUGCUGAGUUUGCAGUCUGUAUAAAAGAGAUGAGGAAAUUACAGAGGAAAUACGUGUGGGCAGGGCCUGCCCUUGAGAAAUUGUCAAACUGGGAGAAUAUCUUUUGGUUGCCAUCAGCACCCUGCCUCUGCUUCUUUUACACCAGACUGCAGUGCUGAAAGUCAGACCUCAGGGUUGAGUUCUUCCUGCUGCCUUAGCUACGCUUCCAAUAUUAUAAGGUGGGAUGAGAGUGAGUCCCCAGAGCUAAUGCUCAAGCCCCAUGUGAACCCUACUGGCUGCCUGCUCCUUAACUUUCUGAAGCUGCCAACAUCUAUUUUGUCAGCAUUCCAGGGAUUCAGUUGUAGUCUAGUUCAGAGGUUGUUUUGUCAACCAAUGUGGCUUCUGGUCUCUCUUAAGCACCCACAACAAAGGCUUCUAUGGAGAGCUUCUUGUUUCUGCAGUGGAUUGAGACCAGAGAGGGACCACCCUCACUUGUCAGUCAUUCCAUGUUCAGUUUAAUUCAGUGGUUCUCAACCUAUGAGUCAUGACCCCUUUGGGGGCUGCAUAACAGCUAUCCUGCACAUCAGAUGUUUACAGCAUAAUUCAUAACAGUGGCAAAUUAGAGUUAUGAAGUAGCAAUGAAAUAAUUUUAUGGCCUGGGGGGUCACCAAAAUAUGAGGGACUGUAUUUAUUAAAGAAUCGUAGCAUUAGGAAGAUGGGGAUUCUUUUGCUAUAUCCUCAUGUUUCUACCCUGAUGGGAUUCACCUUGAAUUUAUAUCCUGUUGACUAUUGAAUUCUCCAUCACUAUGCUUCGCCCACCCUCACCCCUUACUCUCCCUCCACAAAGGAAAGUAAUCCGAUGAGGGAACAGACACAGGGUGUUAAUAACUGAUAACCACUUAAUGUAUUAUUAUCCUUCUCAAAGGAAUUAUCCUUAUUCAAGUUGCAAAGCUUUCAUCCAAAGAAAUGAAGAUUUUUAGGGAGCUUUUGGAAUACUAUGCUUCAAGAAGUGAGCAGCUAUUUGGGAGCAAGGGAUAUCUAAACCUUUCCAAAUGAUAUUACACAAAAAGUACUUGCUUCAUUUAUUGCUCUAUAAAGGGUCCAACUUGUGGAAAUACGGGAACCACACAAAUGCAAUGAUUCUUAUAUUUACUGCAUCUUAAAACCACCAGGGAGCUUUGAAAGCUCACAGUACCUAAGCUCUACUCAGACCAAUAAAAAUCAGUGUUCCUGGAAGUGAAAUCUAUGCAUUUGUAUUUUCAAAAGGAAAAAUAUUUAGCUUAUUCCAGCUCCAAUACACAGUCGAAGUUAAGCUCCACUGUAAUAAUGAACACCAUUAACAGCAGAGUAGUGGUAGCCUUAACAAACCCAGUGAAUCGGGCUUUCUCCCCAUGGUGGGAAUGGCUGCUACUGGACACAAAGCCAGAAUUUCAUUCUGAAAAUGUGUUCAUGUGAUUCUGUAAGUACUUAAUAUAAUCCACACAGGCUAAGUAGUUAGUUGCUAAACUGAAAACACCCAUCUCAUUUCAUCCCAGUCCACUCCUGGCCAUCUGGUCCUCUGAAUUUCCAUUACAGGGCCAUGUGUGUAUUAAUGAAAUGAUUGCAUCCGAUUACAUCUUUUAUUCAGAGCACAAGAACAGUCCAUGAAUUCUGUCCUCGAGCAUUACUGAUUUUGUCGUGAAGUCACUAAUUAAGUUUACUCCAUUUCAGGCAGAGGUGGGAUUGCUGUUCACUAAGGUAAGAAAAUAAAUAAGUUACUGCUGAUAAUAAAAUUAUAAUUUUGCUGCCUAGCAACCAUAGGAUAGAAACUUCAAUCAAAAAUGUUACCUCAUUGUUUUCUGUUUGUUUGCUUUGUUCAAGACAGAGUUUCUCUGUGUAAUAGACUUGGCUGUCCUGGCACUCUCUUUAUAGGCCAAGCUGGCCUUGAAAUCAGAGAUCUGCCUCCUCUGUCUCCCAAGUGCUUGGAUUAAAGGCAUGUGCCACCACCACCCACGGUUACUCCAUUAAAAACUGUCAAAAAUGUAGUGUAUAUUCUGAUCAACUUGUUACAAGUGGUAUAAAAGAGGACCACCAAGCAAUUGAGCUUCCUCUCUCCUUUCCUGCACUUCUCUAGAAAGGGUGGGUAGUCAGAGAGCCACAUGCCUCGAUUAUAUUACUUUGAAGUUGUUUAAUUGAGUAGGCAUCAGAAUGAAUAAAAAAACAGAAUG
ensembl:processed_transcript A530058N18Rik RIKEN cDNA A530058N18 gene